rnacentral:rRNA from 1 species
GACGAACGCUGGCGGCGUGCCUAAUACAUGCAAGUUGAGCGCUGAAGGUUGGUACUUGUACCGACUGGAUGAGCAGCGGACGGGUGAGUAACGCGUGGGGAAUCUGCCUUUGAGCGGGGGACAACAUUUGGAAACGAAUGCUAAUACCGCAUAAAAACUUUAAACACAAGUUUUAAGUUUGAAAGAUGCAAUUGCAUCACUCAAAGAUGAUCCCGCGUUGUAUUAGCUAGUUGGUGAGGUAAAGGCUCACCAAGGCGAUGAUACAUAGCCGACCUGAGAGGGUGAUCGGCCACAUUGGGACUGAGACACGGCCCAAACCCCUACGGGAGGCAGCAGUAGGGAAUCUUCGGCAAUGGACGAAAGUCUGACCGAGCAACGCCGCGUGAGUGAAGAAGGUUGUCGGAUCGUAAAACUCUGUUGGUAGAGAAGAACGUUGGUGAGAGUGGAAAGCUCAUCAAGUGACGGUAACUACCCAGAAAGGGACGGCUAACUACGUG